rnacentral:tRNA from 1 species
GGCCGUUUGGCCGAGUGAUCUAAGGCGCCUGACUCAAGAUCAGAUCUCAAAAGACGUAUGCUUUCGAACCACUUAGCGGUCA